GACGAACGCUGGCGGCGUGCUUAACACAUGCAAGUCGAACGGAAAGGCCCUGCUUUUGUGGGGUGCUCGAGUGGCGAACGGGUGAGUAACACGUGAGUAACCUGCCCUUGACUUUGGGAUAACUUCAGGAAACUGGGGCUAAUACCGGAUAGGAGCUCCUGCUGCAGGGUGGGGGUUGGAAAGUUUCGGCGGUUGGGGAUGGACUCGCGGCUUAUCAGCUUGUUGGUGGGGUAGUGGCUUACCAAGGCUUUGACGGGUAGCCGGCCUGGGAGGGUGACCGGCCCCAUUGGGACUGAGAUACGGCCCAGACUCCUACGGGAGGCAGCAGUGGGGAAUAUUGCACAAUGGGCGGAAGCCUGAUGCAGCAACGCCGCGUGCGGGAUGACGGCCUUCGGGUUGUAAACCGCUUUCGCCUGUGACGAAGCGUGAGUGACGGUAAUGGGUAAAGAAGCACCGGCUAACUACGUG
rnacentral:rRNA from 1 species